CCAAUAGCGUAUAUUAAAGUUGUUGCAGUUAAAAAGCUCGUAGUUGAAUUUCGGGAUUGACGUGAUGGUCACGCCUUAAGGGGUAUGAACUGUUACUGUUGAUUUCUCACCUUCUGGAGAAACUUGAUGUCCUUUAUUGGGUGUCUUGCGGAUCCAGGACCUUUACCUUGAAAAAAUUAGAGUGUUUAAAGCAGGCAUUUUUGCUCGAAUACAUUAGCAU
rnacentral:rRNA from 1 species